rnacentral:rRNA from 1 species
CCUACGGGGGGCAGCAGUGGGGAAUAUUGCACAAUGGGCGCAAGCCUGAUGCAGCCAUGCCGCGUGUGUGAAGAAGGCCUUCGGGUUGUAAAGCACUUUCAGCGGGGAGGAAGGCGGUGAGGUUAAUAACCUCAUCGGUUGACGUUACCCGCAGAAGAAGCACCGGCUAACUCCGUGCCAGCAGCCGCGGUAAUACGGAGGGUGCAAGCGUUAAUCGGAAUUACUGGGCGUAAAGCGCACGCAGGCGGUCUGUCAAGUCGGAUGUGAAAUCCCCGGGCUCAACCUGGGAACUGCAUUCGAAACUGGCAGGCUAGAGUCUUGUAGAGGGGGGUAGAAUUCCAGGUGUAGCGGUGAAAUGCGUAGAGAUCUGGAGGAAUACCGGUGGCGAAGGCGGCCCCCUGGACAAAGACUGACGCUCAGGUGCGAAAGCGUGGGGAGCAAACAGGAUUAGAUACCCGUGUAGUC